rnacentral:rRNA from 1 species
AGAGUUUGAUCCUGGCUCAGGAUGAACGCUAGCUACAGGCUUAACACAUGCAAGUCGAGGGGAAACGAUAUUGGAAGCUUGCUUCCGAUAGGCGUCGACCGGCGCACGGGUGAGUAACGCGUAUCCAACCUGCCCACCACUUGGGGAUAACCUUGCGAAAGUAAGACUAAUACCCAAUGAUAUCUCUAGAAGACAUCUGAAAGAGAUUAAAGAUUUAUCGGUGAUGGAUGGGGAUGCGUCUGAUUAGCUUGUUGGCGGGGUAACGGCCCACCAAGGCAACGAUCAGUAGGGGUUCUGAGAGGAAGGUCCCCCACAUUGGAACUGAGACACGGUCCAAACUCCUACGGGAGGCAGCAGUGAGGAAUAUUGGUCAAUGGACGAGAGUCUGAACCAGCCAAGUAGCGUGCAGGAAGACGGCCCUAUGGGUUGUAAACUGCUUUUAUAAGGGAAUAAAGUGAGAGUCGUGACUCUUUUUGCAUGUACCUUAUGAAUAAGGACCGGCUAAUUCCGUGCCAGCAGCCGCGGUAAUACGGAAGGUCCGGGCGUUAUCCGGAUUUAUUGGGUUUAAAGGGAGCGUAGGCCGGAGAUUAAGCGUGUUGUGAAAUGUAGACGCUCAACGUCUGCACUGCAGCGCGAACUGGUUUCCUUGAGUACGCACAAAGUGGGCGGAGUUCGUGGUGUAGCGGUGAAAUGCUUAGAUAUCACGAAGAACUCCGAUUGCGAAGGCAGCUCACUGGAGCGCAACUGACGCUGAAGCUCGAAAGUGCGGGUAUCGAACAGGAUUAGAUACCCUGGUAGUCCGCACGGUAAACGAUGGAUGCCCGCUGUUGGUCUGAAUAGGUCAGCGGCCAAGCGAAAGCAUUAAGCAUCCCACCUGGGGAGUACGCCGGCAACGGUGAAACUCAAAGGAAUUGACGGGGGCCCGCACAAGCGGAGGAACAUGUGGUUUAAUUCGAUGAUACGCGAGGAACCUUACCCGGGCUUGAAUUGCAGAGGAAGGAUUUGGAGACAAUGACGCCCUUCGGGGCCUCUGUGAAGGUGCUGCAUGGUUGUCGUCAGCUCGUGCCGUGAGGUGUCGGCUUAAGUGCCAUAACGAGCGCAACCCCUCUCCUUAGUUGCCAUCAGGUUAAGCUGGGCACUCUGGGGACACUGCCACCGUAAGGUGUGAGGAAGGUGGGGAUGACGUCAAAUCAGCACGGCCCUUACGUCC